rnacentral:rRNA from 1 species
GACGAACGCUGGCGGCAUGCCUAACACAUGCAAGUCGAGCGAGUUGAUUCCUUCGGGAUGAAGCUAGCGGCGGACGGGUGAGUAACACGUGGGCAACCUGCCUCAUAGAGGGGAAUAGCCUCCCGAAAGGGAGAUUAAUACCGCAUAAGAUGGUAAUACCGCAUGGUACAGCAAUUAAAGGAGCAAUCCGCUAUGAGAUGGGCCCGCGGCGCAUUAGCUAGUUGGUGAGGUAAUGGCUUACCAAGGCGACGAUACGUAGCCGACCUGAGAGGGUGAUCGGCCACAUUGGGAUUGAGACACGGCCCAGACUCCUACGGGAGGCAGCAGUGGGGAAUAUUGCACAAUGGGGGAAACCCUGAUGCAGCAAUGCCGCGUGAGUGAUGACGGCCUUCGGGUUGUAAAGCUCUGUCUUCGGGGACGAUAAUGACGGUACCCGAGGAGGAAGCCACGGCUAACUACGUGCCAGCAGCCGCCGCAG